rnacentral:rRNA from 1 species
GAUGAACGCUAGCUACAGGCUUAACACAUGCAAGUCGAGGGGUAACAAGAGGAAAGCUUGCUUUUCUUGUUGACGACCGGCGCACGGGUGAGUAACGCGUAUCCAACCUGCCUAUAACUAGGGAAUAACCUUGCGAAAGUAAGACUAAUACCCUAUGAUUUCCUUUGAUGACAUCAGAUUAGGAAUAAAGAUUUAUCGGUUAUAGAUGGGGAUGCGUGUGAUUAGCUUGUUGGCGGGGUAACGGCCCACCAAGGCAACGAUCAGUAGGGGUUCUGAGAGGAAGGUCCCCCACAUUGGAACUGAGACACGGUCCAAACUCCUACGGGAGGCAGCAGUGAGGAAUAUUGGUCAAUGGGCGGAAGCCUGAACCAGCCAAGUAGCGUGCAGGAUGACGGCCCUAUGGGUUGUAAACUGCUUUUAUACAGGAAUAAAGUUAGCCACGUGUGGUUAUUUGUAGGUACUGUAUGAAUAAGGACCGGCUAAUUCCGUGCCAGCAGCCGCGGUAA